UCCUUAUCAGUUCUACUUUCAAUUCUGACAGCUAAUACCAUGACAGAGCCAAAUUAUUUUCCAAAAUUCCAAUUUUUAAAUAAACAAAAUAUAUUCAAUCGAAAAACGGUGUCAACACAUCUAUGCCCCUCACAAUAGUAUGCUCCGUGUGUUUCAAUUAUGUCCCUCGUUUUUAGAAUAAUUUUAAAGUUCGAAAAUGAAAAUAAAUCAACUAUAACAUCAAUAAUAGAAUAACAGAACACAAUGUACAUAUUGUACUCAAUGUACAUAUUGUCUGAAUUCCAACAAAAGGGAAAGUAUUUACUUCAAGAAAUGUGUAGAAACAUAAAAACGAUAAGAAGUACAUUUGAAUGACUAUAUAUACACACAUAAAAUGCAAGUGAAUAUUACACAUGUCACUGACAUGUUUUUCUUCACAAAAACCAAAAUUUGUCAUUUUUAUGGAGAAACACUCAUCUCCCUAUUUGGGCAAACGAUAAAAGUACGUGAAUCACUAGCCUUCUGUUGACCUUCAACGGCCGGAGAAAGUUCAAAAGGCCAACUUAUUCUCAUUAAUCUGUAAGUGCUGAGAGAAGAAAACAAAAAACUUUAAAUGCAUAUUUUAAAAUGCUGAUUUUUCUGCGACCAAAAAUUCUUCAGGCUGGUGCCCAAGCAUGGCCGCAGUCCAAUGACUGAAACAAGUAAAAAGAUUUUUAGAAAAUAAAAAAAACCGAGGGGGUUAUAAAAAAUUUCAAGAGAUUUGGCUGUUAUUUCAAGCAUGUGGAGAUACCGUCUAGUCUUAACUUCAUGCGCUGGUUGAAAAUCAUUUAAAAUUUUCUCGGAUUGUUACAUCCGACUAAAAAUUCUUCAAGUUGGUGCCACAGCAUAGCCGCAGUCUAAUAACUGCAACAAAUAAAAGGUGGGGGGAAAAAAUCGAAAAAUGGGGGCUUUUGUCCACUUUCACACUUUAACCAUGGGGCUUUUGUCCUACACGCCUCAUACCUACCAUUCAAUAUCAUUCUAAAAUUAAUCACAUCAUCAAAAUCUCAAGCCUAUGAGAUAAUGCAUGAUUAUUUCAAAACAAUGUGAAUAAAGAAGCAUUAUAUUUGACAGAGUAAUCUGAAUGCUAAAGAGUUAAAUGAUCAGGAUGAUCAAUGAAGAACUUCUCAUAUAGCAGCAAACAAUUUUCCUAACUCUACAGAAAAUAUUCCUGAAUACUGGUUGGUACAAGUUAAAAGACGUAAAUGAUAGACUUCAUAACGAAAAAUACGAUUUGUUUUCCAAUUUCAUAACAAAUUUACCUAGUGUGCCACAUUUGCCAGCAUUCGUUCUACGUAUUAAAGCUAAGUAAAAUACUGCUAUUUCUAUUGAAAAAGAUAUCUUUAUUAUGUGGAGCUUUUUUUCCAAACCUUAACUGGAGUUAUCCUGAAGGUUUCAAUAGCAGCCCUGCUUAAAGUUGUCAGUUUCGUUGCUUACUAUCAACACUUUGCCGAGUUGGCGUGAAAGAAACAAACUCGCCUUUCCACACUUUCAGAAUAAAAUAAUCUUGCCUGGAAAAUAUUCUAAAUCGGAACUUUAAAUUCCUGUGGCCGCCCACGAUGAUUUCACGACUUCAAAUGACAUUCAGAUUAUUUACAGUUUAGCUCUUACUUCAAAUAUGUGAAUUAUCUAC